GACGAACCGUGCGAACGUUGUUCGGAAUCACUGGGCUUAAAGGGCGCGUAGGCGGGCUAUCAAGUCCGGGGUGAAAUCCUCCAGCUUAACUGGAGAAUGGCCUCGGAUACUGAUGGUCUCGAGGAGGAUAGGGGCACACGGAACUGUGGGUGGAGCGGUGAAAUGCGUUGAUAUCCAUAGGAACUCCGGUGGCGAAAGCGGUGUGCUGGAUCCUUUCUGACGCUGAGGCGCGAAAGUCAGGGGAGCAAACGGG
rnacentral:rRNA from 1 species